rnacentral:rRNA from 1 species
UACGUAGGGUGCGAGCGUUACUCGGAAUUACUGGGCGUAAAGCGUGCGCAGGCGGUUGGUUAAGUCUGAUGUGAAAGCCCCGGGCUCAACCUGGGAAUGGCAUUGGAAACUGGCUGGCUAGAGUGUGGCAGAGGGGGGUGGAAUUCCGCGUGUAGCAGUGAAAUGCGUAGAGAUGCGGAGGAACACCGAUGGCGAAGGCAGCCCCCUGGGCUAGCACUGACGCUCAGGCACGAAAGCGUGGGGAGCAAACAGG